rnacentral:rRNA from 1 species
AUUGAACGCUGGCGGCAGGCCUAACACAUGCAAGUCGAGCGAGCGGCGGACGGGUGAGUAAUGUAUGGGGACUGCCCGCUAGAGGGGGAUCACUACUGGAAACGGUAGCUAAUACCGCAUACUAUCGGAUAACCCAUAUGGUAUUAGCUAGUAGGUGGGGUAAUGGCUCACCUAGGCGACGAUCCCUAGCUGGUCUGAGAGGAUGAUCAGCCACACUGGGACUGAGACAGGGCCCAGACUCCUACGGAGGCAGCAGUGGGGAAUAUUGCACAAUGGGCGCAAGCCUGAUGCAGCCAUGCCGAGUGUAUGAAGAAAGCCAUAGGGUUGUAGAGUACGUUCAGUCGGGAGGCGUUACCGAAAGAAGAAGCACCGGCUAACUCCGUGCCAGCCGCCGCGGUAAUAC